CCUAAAUUCACUAUGUAGCCCAGGCUGGCCCAAAUUCCCAGGGAUCAUCCUGCCUCAGCCUCCUGAGUGCUGGGAU
rnacentral:miRNA from 1 species